AGUGAACGCUGGCGGUAGGCCUAACACAUGCAAGUCGAACGGCAGCACAGUAAGAGCUUGCUCUUACGGGUGGCGAGUGGCGGACGGGUGAGGAAUACAUCGGAAUCUACUUUUUCGUGGGGGAUAACGUAGGGAAACUUACGCUAAUACCGCAUACGACCUACGGGUGAAAGCAGGGGAUCUUCGGACCUUGCGCGAUUGAAUGAGCCGAUGUCGGAUUAGCUAGUUGGCGGGGUAAAGGCCCACCAAGGCGACGAUCCGUAGCUGGUCUGAGAGGAUGAUCAGCCACACUGGAAAUUAGACACGGUCCCGACUCCUAAGGGAGGGAGGCGUGGGGAAUAUUGGACAAUGGGCGCAAGCCUGAUCCAGCCAUACCGCGUGGGUGAAGAAGGCCUUCGGGUUGUAAAGCCCUUUUGUUGGGAAAGAAAAGCAGCAGGUUAAUACCCCGCUGUUCUGACGGUACCCAAAGAAUAAGCACCGGCUAACUUCGUG
rnacentral:rRNA from 1 species